rfam:Dipodomys ordii contig_66257, whole genome shotgun sequence.
GGGAAUGUGGCUUAGUGGUAGAGUGCUUGCCUAGCAUGCAUUAAGCCCUGGGUUCAAUUCCUCAGUACCA